AGAGGAAAUGGAAGAGGUGACAAAAAGAAAAUAACCUUGGCAGGUGAGUCUAAAUUAAAACAGAAAAAAAAGUAAAAACCCACUUGAGAGGGUGUUAAUCUCCCAUUGAGGUAAAAACUCCGAGCCCCCCGGUGGAAGAACGUGCUGUGGCUAAGAAUUCAAUUAACUGAACCAUCCAAACCUUUUCUCUGUGUUUCUUGAGCACUGAAUUGCUCUGGGUCCCAUAUGGGCCUUUAAUAAAAAGGGAAACUACUUCAAAAUAGAACUGGACUCACAUCUUGCCUGGACUGGCAGUGUUUCGAAACGUAUAAAUACAACCUCUCAGCCCAUCACUUUUAAUCUUUACUCCUCAUCUUUUCUUCUCAUUGCUACUAUGCAGCUCUAUUUCCCUCCGCUUCUUUCAUCAGUUUGAUGUCUUACUCUCACUUUUUACUCUGCUCCAAAAAGUCACUUUAUGCUUUUUUUUUCUUCUUUCUUCCCCUCCUCCUCCAGAUCUCGCGCUGACCUAGAUGCCCUAAUGAAACAUGUCAGCCCGACAUGGAGUGAUGUUCUUCAAAGGACAUGCAUGCAAGAACACGCACGAGCAUGCAGAAACUCAGGCAGACAGUUAGCGUGUCUUGCAGGAUUAGAGGAACAUGUGUUCUUGUAUUUGAGCUUGUGACAUAUUCAAAUCCCGCUUAAUAUGAUUGCGUUUUGGGAAGUUAUUACUUGAUACUUGUUUGAAUCUGUUCGUCCAUCCUCCCUUCUGACUGUCUGUCAGCUUGUCUGGUUCCACAUUAGGGAUCGAUAAAAGCAGUCAUGGGCUUAUUAUACUCUACUUUAGCAAAUAACACACAAAUUUGAUAGUAUAUAAUAAUGUUAAUUAAAAGGGAACCUAUUAUGUUUCCUUGAACCGUUUAGGAUAGGUCUAUGGGUUAUACAAAUCAUAUUCAAUACUUUUUUUUUUUAGGAAAUCAGCAUAAAU